GACGAACGCUGGCGGCGUGCCUAAUACAUGCGAGUCGAGCGAAGUUUUUCUGGUGCUUGCACUAGAAAAACUUAGCGGCGAACGGGUGAGUAACACGUAAAGAACCUGCCUCAUAGACUGGGACAACUAUUGGAAACGAUAGCUAAUACCGGAUAACAGUAUUUCUCGCAUGAGAGGUAUUUAAAAGUUGGUUAUGCUAACACUAUGAGAUGGCUUUGCGGUGCAUUAGCUAGUUGGCGGGGUAAAGGCCCACCAAGGCGACGAUGCAUAGCCGACCUGAGAGGGUGAUCGGCCACACUGGGACUGAGACACGGCCCAGACUCCUACGGGAGGCAGCAGUAGGGAAUCUUCCGCAAUGGGCGAAAGCCUGACGGAGCAACGCCGCGUGAGUGAAGAAGGAUUUCGGUUCGUAAAGCUCUGUUGUUAGGGAAGAAUGGAUAUGUAGUAACUAUACAUGUAAGAGACGGUACCUAACCAGAAAGCCACGGCUAACUACGUG
rnacentral:rRNA from 1 species